CCCUCGUUGGGCCGAACCGCUACCUGCUUCACGACCUUGUGGAGUACGUCUACGGCGUGGCGCACCGGCCCUUUAUACCCUACCCUCUGCCACGCCCGCUCUACCACCUGGUUGCCAGGAUUUUUGCUAUGAACCCGUUGAACCCUGGACGACCCCGGACAAAU